GUGCAAGCUUUGGCAACAUACAUACUAAAAUUAGAAAGAUACAGAGAAGAUUAGCAUGACCUCUGCACAAACAUGACCUGAAAAUUUGUGAAGAGCUCCAUAUUUUU
ensembl:snRNA U6 U6 spliceosomal RNA